rnacentral:rRNA from 1 species
GCAGGGAAUAUUGCGCAAUGGGCGAAAGCCUGACGCAGCGACACCGCGUGGGGGAAGAAGGCUCUAGGGUUGUAAACCCCUUUUCUCGGGGAAGAGGAAGGACGGUACCCGAGGAAUAAGGUUCGGCUAACUACGUGCCAGCAGCCGCGGUAAUACGUAGGAACCGAGCGUUGUCCGAAUUUACUGGGCGUAAAGGGCGAGUAGGCGGCUUGCCAAGUCUCAUGUGAAAUCUCCCGGCUCAACUGGGAGGGGUCAUGGGAAACUGGCAGACUUGAGGGCAGCAGAGGAAAGUGGAAUUCCCGGAGUAGUGGUGGAAUGCGUAGAUACCGGGAGGAACACCAGUGGCGAAGGCGGCUUUCUGGGCUGUACCUGACGCUGAGGCGCGAAAGCGUGGGGAGCAAACCGG